CAAAAUUGAAACCAAUAAACGAAGAGCUGAACCGAAACUGGGAAAAGGGCGAUUGCGAUUUGCGAUUGUGAAGGCAGUGGACUAUGGGCUGGUGCCUGGCAGAGUGGUGUGAGUUGAGUGGACAGUGACCGGUGAGCGUGUGUGGCCUGUGACCGUGAGCGACGAGGAGGUGGACGGUAGAGUCACUGGAGUGGUGCGAGUGCGACCGUGCGGCAUGCUAGUUGAGUGGACGGUGAGUCGAUCGCUAGUGGCUGCGACUGCAAGUGAGACUUCUGGCCUUGGUGUCUGGUGAACUAUUCUGUUUUUUUUUUUCCCUUUUCAUUUUGAUGCCUUAAUUUGAUUAUUUUGUUAAAUGUGAUGAUUAUGAUUUAUGAAAAUUGGGAAAUUUGUAAAUUUUGUGAAUUUGUGACUGUGGUUUGUAAAUUGGGAAUUUUAUGACUUGUGAG
rnacentral:lncRNA from 1 species